CGGCCGCGGGANNUCGAUUAGAGUUUGAUUAUGGCUCAGAGCGAACGCUGGCGGCAGGCCUAACACAUGCAAGUCGAGCGCCCAGCAAUGGGAGCGGCAGACGGGAGAGUAACACGUGGGAACGUACCUUUCAGUUCGGAACAACCAAGGGAAACUUUGGCUAAUACCGAAUACGCCCGUAAGGGGAAAGAUUUAUCGCUGAAAGAUCGGCCCGCGUCUGAUUAGCUAGUUGGUGAGGUAACGGCUCACCAAGGCGACGAUCAGUAGCUGGUCUGAGAGGAUGAUCAGCCUCAUUGGGACUGAGACACGGCCCAAACUCCUACGGGAGGCAGCAGUGGGGAAUAUUGGACAAUGGGCGCAAGCCUGAUCCAGCCAUGCCGCGUGGAUGAUGAAGGCCUUAGGGUUGUAAAGUCCUUUUAACGGGGAAGAUAAUGACGGUACCCGUAGAAUAAGCCCCGGCUAACUUCGUGCCAGCGGCCGCGGUAAUACGAAGGGGGCUAGCGUUGCUCGGAAUCACUGGGCGUAAAGCGCACGUAGGCGGACUCUUAAGUCGGUGGUGAAAUCCUGGAGCUCAACUCCAGAACUGCCUUCGAUACUGAGAGUCUCGAGUCCGGGAGAGGUGAGUGGAACUGCGAGUGUAGAGGUGAAAUUCGUAGAUAUUCGCAAGAACACCANNNGCGAAGGCGGCUCACUGGCCCGGUACUGACGCUGAGGUGCGAAAGCGUGGGG
rnacentral:rRNA from 1 species